CUGUAAGCCUGUGAAGGUGUGCUGUGAGGCAUGCUGGAGGUAUCAGAAGUGCGAAUGCUGACAUAAGUAACGAUAAAGCGGGUGAAAAGCCCGCUCGCCGGAAGACCAAGGGUUCCUGUCCAACGUUAAUCGGGGCAGGGUGAGUCGACCCCUAAGGCGAGGCCGAAAGGCGUAGUCGAUGGGAAACAGGUUAAUAUUCCUGUACUUGGUGUUACUGCGAAGGGGGGACGGAGAAGGCUAUGUUGGCCGGGCGACGGUUGUCCCGGUUUAAGCGUGUAGGCUGGUUUUCCAGGCAAAUCCGGAAAAUCAAGGCUGAGGCGUGAUGACGAGGCACUACGGUGCUGAAGCAACAAAUGCCCUGCUUCCAGGAAAAGCCUCUAAGCAUCAGGUAACAUCAAAUCGUACCCCAAACCGACACAGGUGGUCAGGUAGAGAAUACCAAGGCGCUUGAGAGAACUCGGGUGAAGGAACUAGGCAAAAUGGUGCCGUAACUUCGGGAGAAGGCACGCUGAUAUGUAGGUGAAGUCCCUCGCGGAUGGAGCUGAAAUCAGUCGAAGAUACCAGCUGGCUGCAACUGUUUAUUAAAAACACAGCACUGUGCAAACACGAAAGUGGACGUAUACGGUGUGACGCCUGCCCGGUGCCGGAAGGUUAAUUGAUGGGGUCAGCGCAAGCGAAGCUCUUGAUCGAAGCCCCGGUAAACGGCGGCCGUAACUAUAACGGUCCUAAGGUAGCGAAAUUCCUUGUCGGGUAAGUUCCGACCUGCACGAAUGGCGUAAUGAUGGCCAGGCUGUCUCCACCCGAGACUCAGUGAAAUUGAACUCGCUGUGAAGAUGCAGUGUACCCGCGGCAAGACGGAAAGACCCCGUGAACCUUUACUAUAGCUUGACACUGAACAUUGAGCCUUGAUGUGUAGGAUAGGUGGGAGGCUUGGAAGUGUGGACGCCAGUCUGCAUGGAGCCGACCUUGAAAUACCACCCUUUAAUGUUUGAUGUUCUAACGUUGACCCGUAAUCCGGGUUGCGGACAGUGUCUGGUGGGUAGUUUGACUGGGGCGGUCUCCUCCUAAAGAGUAACGGAGGAGCACGAAGGUUGGCUAAUCCUGGUCGGACAUCAGGAGGUUAGUGCAAUGGCAUAAGCCAGCUUGACUGCGAGCGUGACGGCGCGAGCAGGUGCGAAAGCAGGUCAUAGUGAUCCGGUGGUUCUGAAUGGAAGGGCCAUCGCUCAACGGAUAAAAGGUACUCCGGGGAUAACAGGCUGAUACCGCCCAAGAGUUCAUAUCGACGGCGGUGUUUGGCACCUCGAUGUCGGCUCAUCACAUCCUGGGGCUGAAGUAGGUCCCAAGGGUAUGGCUGUUCGCCAUUUAAAGUGGUACGCGAGCUGGGUUUAGAACGUCGUGAGACAGUUCGGUCCCUAUCUGCCGUGGGCGCUGGAGAACUGAGGGGGGCUGCUCCUAGUACGAGAGGACCGGAGUGGACGCAUCACUGGUGUUCGGGUUGUCAUGCCAAUGGCACUGCCCGGUAGCUAAAUGCGGAAGAGAUAAGUGCUGAAAGCAUCUAAGCACGAAACUUGCC
rnacentral:rRNA from 1 species